rnacentral:rRNA from 1 species
GAACGAACGCUGGCGGCGUGCCUAACACAUGCAAGUCGAGCGAGAAAGUCCCUUCGGGGGCGAGUAAAGCGGCGGACGGGUGAGUAAUACAUGGAUAAUCUUCCCUCGAGCCUGGGAUAACCCUGCGAAAGUGGGGCUAAUACCGGAUAAGACCACAUGACACAUGCCACGGGGUAGAAGGUGGCUUGUAUUUAUAUGAGCUAUCACUUGAGGAUGAGUCCAUGGCCUAUCAGCUAGUUGGUGAGGUAAGAGCUUACCAAGGCUAUGACGGGUAGCUGGUCUGAGAGGACGACUAGCCACACUGGGACUGAGACACGGCCCAGACUCCUACGGGAGGCAGCAGUGGGGAAUAUUGGGCAAUGGGCGAAAGCCUGACCCAGCGACGCCGCGUGGGUGAUGAAGGCCUUCGGGUUGUAAAACCCUUUCGUGCGGAAAGAAUAGUCCUGUAGCGAAUAACUACGGGAUUUGACGGUACCGCAGGAAGAAGCACCGGCUAACUCCGUGCCAGCAGCCGCGGUAAUACGUAUGGGGCAAGCGUUAUCCGGAAUUAUUGGGCGUAAAGAGUGCGUAGGUGGUUACCUAAGCGCAAGGUUUAAUCUUGAGGCUCAACCUCAUUCUGCCUUGCGAACUGGGCUACUUGAGUGNNNNNGGGGAAAGCGGAAUUCCCAGUGUAGCGGUGAAAUGCGUAGAUAUUGGGAAGAACACCGGUGGNNNNNNNNNCUUUCUGGACUGUAACUGACACUGAGGCACGAAAGCGUGGGGAGCAAACAGGAUUAGAUACCCUGGUAGUCCACGCCGUAAACGAUGAGCACUAGUUGUUGGGUACGAAUGUAUUCAGUGACGCAGUUAACGCAAUAAGUGCUCCGCCUGGGGAGUACGGUGGCAACACUAAAACUCAAAGGAAUUGACGGGGACCCGCACAAGCAGCGGAGCAUGUGGUUUAAUUCGAAGCAACGCGAAAAACCUUACCAGGGCUUGACAUCCCUCUGACCGGAUCUUAACCGAUCCUUUCUUCGGACAGAGGUGACAGGUGGUGCAUGGUUGUCGUCAGCUCGUGUCGUGAGAUGUUGGGUUAAGUCCCGCAACGAGCGCAACCCUUGUCGUCAGUUACUAACAUUCAGUUGAGGACUCUGACGAGACUGCCGAGGUCAACUCGGAGGAAGGUGGGGAUGACGUCAAAUCAUCAUGCCCCUUAUGUUCUGGGCUACACACGUGCUACAAUGGUCGGUACAAUGAGACGCAAUACAGUGAUGUGGAGCAAAUCACCAAAACCGAUCCCAGUUCGGAUUGCAGGCUGCAACUCGCCUGCAUGAAGUCGGAGUUGCUAGUAAUCGCGAAUCAGCAUGUCGCGGUGAAUGCGUUCCCGGGUCU